rnacentral:rRNA from 1 species
AAGGAAGCACACUUCGGUCAAAGAUUAAGCCAUGCAAGUGUCAGUUCAGGUAACAAACUGCGAACAGUUCAUUAACACACUUAGAACCUAUUUGAUAGCGACACUUGUGCCUUAUAUGGAUAGCAGGAGUAAUUCUCGUGCUAAUACAUGCAAUUGUUUCACCAGAAAUGAAAUAUGGUGGAAAAGUUGACCGAUUGGGCAGGUCAUAUGGUUGAGUGACCUAUCAGCUAGUACUUAGGGUCUUUUCCUAUGUAGGCUAUCACGGGUAACGGGCGGUUGCCGUCGGACUGCCGGAGAAGGCGCCUGAGAGAUAGCGACUAUGCCUACGGGCAGCAGCAGGCGCGAAACUUACCCACUCGAUACAAUCGGAGGUGGUUAUGACCAGUUCCAUUUAUGAACUUCGGUUCAUGGUGGCUAGGAUGGUAGUUAGAUAUCACCAUGCAAUCUAGCAGAGGGCCAGUCUGGUGCCAGCAGCUGCGGUAAUUCCAGCUCUGCGAGUUUGCUCCCAUAUUGUUGCAGUUAAAACGCCCGUAGUCUGAAGUCUUUUGAUAUGGCUUUUGCCGUUCACUGCGAAUAAAUCAGGACGCUUAGAGUGUGUCUACAGGAAUGACCUAGCGUAGUAUGAAAUGUUUGCUUUUCGGAGCAAGAUCAAAGAGAGCCAUUGGGGGUAGUUCUAUUUCAUGGCGAACGGUGAAAUGUUUUGACCCAUGAGAGAGAAACGAAAGCGAAAGCAGCUACCUAGAGGGUAUCUGUCGAUCAAGGGCGAGAGUAGGAGUAUCCAACCGGAUUAGAGACCCGGGUAGUUCCUACUGUAAACGAUGUCGACAGGGGAUUGGCUUAGACUUAAGUCAGCACUCUGAGAGAAAUCAUAGUUCUUGGACUCUGGGGGAACUACGAUCGCAAGACUGAAACUUGAAGGAAUUGACGGAAGGGCACACAAGGGGUGGAGCCUGUGGCUCAAUUUGAAUCAACACGGGGAAACUUACCAGGACAAGAUGGCAUGGUGACUGACAGUCUAAAGGGCUUUCAGGAUAUGUUUGUGGGUGGUGCAUGGCCGUUGGUGGUGCGUGGGUUGACCUGUCUAGCGUUGAUUCAGGUAACGAGCGAGAUUACCGCCAAAUACUAGAAGGAUUCAACUAGUUGAAUGUUGGCUUCUAUUUGGAACUGCCUGGUUUAAAACAGGAGGAAGGUGGUAGCAAUAACAGGUCCGUGAUGUCCUUUAGAUGCUCUGGGCUGCACGCGUGCUACAAUGUGGAUAGCAAUUGGAAGCUAGUUCGAGAGAAUUUGCUACUCCAUAAUCAUCCACGUGGUUGGGAUUGACGAUUGUAAUCAUCGUCAUGAACAAGGAAUUCCUUGUAAAUGUGUGUCAACAACGCACGUUGAAUACGUCCCUGCCCUUU